AUUGAACGCUGGCGGCAGGCCUAACACAUGCAAGUCGAGCGGAUGAGGGAAGCUUGCUUCCCGAUUUAGCGGCGGACGGGUGAGUAAUGCCUAGGAAUCUGCCUAUUAGUGGGGGAUAACGUUCCGAAAGGAACGCUAAUACCGCAUACGUCCUACGGGAGAAAGUGGGGGAUCUUCGGACCUCACGCUAAUAGAUGAGCCUAGGUCGGAUUAGCUAGUUGGUGAGGUAACGGCUCACCAAGGCGACGAUCCGUAGCUGGUCUGAGAGGAUGAUCAGCCACACUGGAACUGAGACACGGUCCAGACUCCUACGGGAGGCAGCAGUGGGGAAUAUUGGAAAAUGGGCGAAAGCCUGAUCCAGCCAUGCCGCGUGUGUGAAGAAGGUCUUCGGAUUGUAAAGCACUUUAAGUUGGGAGGAAGAGUUGUAAGCUAAUAUCUUGCAGCUUUGACGUUACCAACAGAAUAAGCACCGGCUAACUCUGUGCCAGCAGCCGCAGUAACAC
rnacentral:rRNA from 1 species